rnacentral:rRNA from 1 species
AUUGAACGCUGGCGGCAGGCCUAACACAUGCAAGUCGAACGAGCGGCGGACGGGUGAGUAAUGUAUGGGGAACUGCCCGAUAGAGGGGGAUAACUACUGGAAACGGUGGCUAAUACCGCAUACUAUCGGAUGAACCCAUAUGGGAUUAGCUAGUGGGUGGGGUAAAGGCUCACCUAGGCGACGAUCCCUAGCUGGUCUGAGAGGAUGACCAGCCACACUGGAACUGAGACACGGCCCAGACUCCUACGGGAGGCAGCAGUGGGGAAUAUUGCACAAUGGGCGCAAGCCGGAUGCAGCCAUGCCGCGUGUAUGAAGAAGGCCUUCGGGUUGUAAAGUACUUUCAGCGAGGAGGCGUUACUCGCAGAAGAAGCACCGGCUAACUCCGUGCCAGCAGCCGCGGUAAUUC